ensembl:lncRNA
UGAGAGAGUUUGUCCUGACUUGUUGGCUCCGUAGGCGAACUGCAGGGGGUCGGUGAGGGUUUCAGGUGGGACAGGACUAGCCGUUCAAAAGACUUCAGAGGACAGUGCAACGGGCCUGUAGUCAUUAAGUCCUGUGAUCCUGGGCAUCAACAGGGAUGAUGAUGGAGGCCUUGAAGCAGGCUGAUACGUGGUAUGUCUCCAAGGAGGUGUUGAAGAUGACGGUGAACACCGGAGGUGCAGCUGUUUGUGUACAAUAGUCUAGCCUUGCCAUGAGUCCCUUUACACACUCCUGUAUGGGAAGUGGCGGUAUACGCUAUUAUUGCUGUAACCCGCCAAAAAGAAGAACGUUAAAGGAGCAAAAUGGGUGCUCCCUUAGAGCGCCAAUGUGGAGAAGUAAAUCCUGCACAAGACCCAAAGGAGGAUUGAAUGGAGCAAGACGGCUGCCUGCAAUGAGAUGGCAUCGUCAUCCUGAGACUCAACUUCCUUGGCAGCAGACUGUGUAGAGCACCCAGAAAGAUGUCGCCGUUCCGAGGCCCCACGCCGACUCAUCCGCUCUCCUCAUCUGCUCUCCUCAUCUCCUCAUUUGGGGGCAACUGAGAAAAAUCCAAGUGCUUAGAAAAAGGCGCAAUGUCAGUGUGGUGACGUUUGGUUAUGAAAUACAAAAUGCAGCCUGAAGCUAGUGUGGGGCUGGUGAAUUGGACUGGAACAGAGAAGAAACAGUCUGUGAAGACAACCUUCAAAUACAAUCUUUUGCUUCUAUUUCUUUUAUCUCUCUCUUUGGGGCAGCAAGUUUAUGUUCUCCUAACAUACUUUCUUCCAAGCUCUUUGUUGUUCUCUGUUGCUCUUUCAAGUAUUUUUUCAUCUAGAUAAAGCUGGCAAAAUAUAACGGUCUGAAUAUUAAAAACCUGCUUUGAGCUUCAGGACAUAUUUCUGAUCAUAACUACAGGCCUUGAUGGAGCUUGACAUGUGAAAAAUGUUUGCCUCGGGUAAUGCAUUUUGAAAUUAAAGGUAGAAAGCAAUUCUUGACGUUUCAUUAUCCGGGGAAUGUAUGAAACUGCAUAUUUGACAUAAGAGAAGUAAAACCGGCUGACUUCAAACCAAUCAUUUUCACAGCUUGGGGCACUGAAAACAUAAAGGAAGAGGUUUUGUUUUAAAUUACAACUUUUUUCAAAGGGGUAUACCGCCUCACAUUAGAAUCUAUAAUGUUUGAGAGCUCUCUG